AUGAAUACUGUCAGGACUAGUGUGAGCACAGUCACGCCACAAAUCCGGACACUCCCAGGCCCGGGCAUCAGGGGCUCCCACAGGUUAGAGCAGCCUCAGACUUGCCCGGUGGAAGGGCGAAGCUCCGGUGCCAGGCGGCACCCGAUUCUUGUUGACGGCCCCGCAGGCUUCGCACCCCACGGUACUGAGGGCGGGAGAGGAGGCCUCGGGGAGGGAGGGCCGAGCAUAUCGCCGGCAUAUCCCCGUGCGCCCCAGUCCUUGGAUCCCGAAAAGAGUGCGGGCCUUUGGCGGAAGCCGAGCCCCGGGGUGUCAGCGACCCUCGUGGGCGGAGUCACCCGAAGAGAGGGAGCCCGCCGGCUCUGGGCCCUCGGGCUGGUCUCGGGAUGCCGGUCGCACCCGCCCCGCCUCGGCAGCGCUCGGCCCGGCGCACCCGGUCCCGUCCCGCCGGAGAGCCGCGGCGCAGGGCGCGGCCGCCGAGCAAAGGUCCCGCCGGCCCGCCCCCUCCCGCCGAGCCCCCGCCCCCGGCCCGCCCCGCGAGCUCAUCUGCCCGGGCCGGCGCGGGACGCCGAGUGCGCGGCUGCAGGGACACGGCGGCGGCGCGGGCAGGUGAGUGCGGCGUCGCGGGCUCCGCUGCGGCUCCGGCUCUCGCCUGGGCGGGCGGCCAGCCCCGUGGAGCAGAGUCCGCGGCUUUUCUCUCUCCGGGACGCCCCUUCCCGCCGUUCCCCCCUAAGGGAGACGAGUCGGUCUGCUGCGCCGACCCCUCUCCGGCCCCUUUCCCCCUACCCCUUCCGCAGCCCCUCUUCCCCGCGGCCACUUCCUUCCGCGGCUGUUGCGAGGACCGCCGGUACCUUCUGUCUCCCCGCGUUCACCGCCCCUCCCCACUCCUUCAUUCUUUGUCCUCCCGUUCCCCGGGGUGUGCAAAGGCUCUCCCGGCUUGCGGGCGUGCGUGCGGGCAGGAAAGGCCGGAGCCCACAGGAGUUGAGUUUCUGGGCUGGAACGGUUCCCUCAGUCGCCUGA
rnacentral:lncRNA from 1 species